rnacentral:hammerhead_ribozyme from 1 species
GCACUGCUGACGAAUCCCAAAACAGGACAAAACAGCUGUCCAGUGU